CGCUGGAUGCAGAGGUUUAUCGAUCUAUUCAUGCUUUUUCAAUAUGUAUAUUCGUUCCCAGGAAGAGAUCGAUGAACCGCUGCCUCCAGC
rnacentral:pre_miRNA from 1 species